GCUCCGGGGCGCGGGGCAGCCGCCGCCUCCGUGCACCCACGACGUCCAGGACGAGAGAAACACUGAGGGGACAUGGCUCUUGUCUGAUAUUGGAAAGAAGGAAAAAAACCCUAGAAGUAACAUUUCGUUAAGUCUUUCGUAAAAUGGUGUUUUUCUGAUAAUCACUCAAAGCCGACAACUGAUAACACGCCAGAACGUGCCGUAGUGUCUAAGGCUGUGUGGAGCCAAGACUGAAGCCGCCGUCACCACCACAACGGUAAAAAUUAGAGACGACCGGUCGGCUCAUGUGCAAGACCAGAACCGUUCCUGGUGUUACCCAAGUGCUUUCCUGGCUCCACCGUGCACCACAGUCAUCGACCUCCAAGAUGGAGGCUCUGCUAGAGCAGGGAAUCACCGUUUCAUUCCUCUCGUUGGAGUCCCAACAGAUCCAACAAGCUAGAAAUUGAGAAUAUAGAAGACAGAAAGGGAAAGAAAGAACUCUGUCAAAAACUACCCAAAGGGCACGGCUCAGGGGACAUCUAGGAAGAACUGGGAAUAACUCUGAAAGGUGUCGGGAAUUGGAGGACACAUUCCAGAUGAAGAAAUUUAUCCCAAGCAUCCCCUGAGUAAAAUUAACACUCUGGAAUGUCUUCUGAGUGAAAUCAAGGAGGGAAAAUUCCCUUUAGAGGUUUAAGGAUUACACAUUAAAACUACUCAUUAAAACCUGAAAACAAAUGGGAUACUCCCA